UACGGGGGGGGCAAGCGUUGUUCGGAAUUACUGGGCGUAAAGGGCUCGUAGGCGGCCAAUUAAGUCAGACGUGAAAUCCCUCAGCUUAACUGGGGAACUGCGUCUGAUACUGGAUGGCUUGAGUUUGGGAGAGGGAUGCGGAAUUCCAGGUGUAGCGGUGAAAUGCGUAGAUAUCUGGAGGAACACCGGUGGCGAAGGCGGCAUCCUGGACCAACACUGACGCUGAGGAGCGAAGGCCAGGGGAGCAAACGGG
rnacentral:rRNA from 1 species